rnacentral:rRNA from 1 species
UGCAGUCGAACGCAGUAGCAAUACUGAGUGGCAAACGGGUGAGUAUAAUGUGAGGUGAUGCCUUUUGGUCUGGAAUAACACGAGGAAACUUGUGCUAAUACCGGAUAAGCCUUCACAGGGAAAGUUUUAAUGCCAAAAGAUGAGCCCGCACUUGAUUAGCUAGUUGGUAAGGUAAUAGCUUACCAAGGCAACGAUCAAUAGCUGUUCUUAGAGGAAGACCAGCCACAUUGGGACUGAGACACGGCCCAAACUCCUACGGGAGGCAGCAGUGGGGAAUCUUGCACAAUGGGGGAAACCCUGAUGCAGCGAUGCCGCGUGAGUGAAGAAGGCCUUUGGGUUGUAAAACUCUUUCGUCGGGGAAGAAAAUGACUGUACCCGAAUAAGAAGGUCCGGCUAACUUCGUGCCAGCAGCCGCGGUAAUACGAAGGGACCUAGCGUAGUUCGGAAUUACUGGGCUUAAAGAGUUCGUAGGUGGUUAAAAAAGUUGAUGGUGAAAUCCCAAGGCUCAACCUUGGAACUGCCAUCAAAACUUUUUAGCUAGAGUAUGAUAGAGGAAAGUGGAAUUUCUAGUG